GACGAACGCUGGCGGCGUGCUUAACACAUGCAAGUCGAACGGUGAAGCUCCAGCUUGCUGGAGUGGAUCAGUGGCGAACGGGUGAGUAACACGUGAGCAACCUGCCCCUGACUCUGGAAUAAGCGCUGGAAACGGCGUCUAAUACUGGAUACGAGAAGGGUCCGCAUGGGCACUUUCUGGAAAGUUUUUCGGUUGGGGAUGGGCUCGCGGCCUAUCAGCUUGUUGGUGAGGUAAUGGCUCACCAAGGCGACGACGGGUAGCCGGCCUGAGAGGGCGACCGGCCACACUGGGACUGAGACACGGCCCAGACUCCUACGGGAGGCAGCAGUGUGGAAUAUUGCACAAUGGGCGAAAGCCUGAUGCAGCGACGCCGCGUGAGGGAUGACGGCCUUCGGGUUGUAAACCUCUUUCAGCAGGGAAGAAGCGAAAGUGACGGUACCUGCAGAAGAAGCACCGGCUAACUACGUG
rnacentral:rRNA from 1 species